rnacentral:rRNA from 1 species
GACGAACGCUGGCGGCGUGCUUAACACAUGCAAGUCGAACGGAAAGGCGCCAACUUUCUGGAGUACUCGAUUGGCGAACGGGUGAGUAACACGUGGGUAAUCUGCCCUUCACUCUGUGAUAAGCCUGGGAAACUGGGUCUAAUACUGGAUAUGACCUUUCUCCUUAUGUGGUUUGGUGGAAGGUUUUUCGUUUUAGGAUGAGCCCGCAGCCUAUCAGCUUGUUGGUGGUGUGAUGUCCUACCAAGGCUACGACGGGUAGCCCGCCUGAGAGGGUGAACGGCGACCUUGGGACUGCGAUAGGCACCAGAAUGGUACGGGACGCAGCAGUCGGGAAUAUUGCACAACGGGGGGAAGCCUGAUGCAGAGACGCAGCGUGCGGGAUGACGGGCUUCGGGUUGUAAACCUAUUUCAGAAGGGAUGAAGAGUAAGUGACGGUACCUGCAGAAGAAGCCACGGCUAACUAGGUG